AGUGAACGCUGGCGGUAGGCCUAACACAUGCAAGUCGAACGGCAGCACAGGAGAGCUUGCUCUCUGGGUGGCGAGUGGCGGACGGGUGAGGAAUACAUCGGAAUCUACUUUUUCGUGGGGGAAAACGGAGGGAAACUUACGCUAAUACCGCAUACGACCUACGGGUGAAAGCAGGGGACCUUCGGGCCUUGCGCGAUUGAAUGAGCCGAUGUCGGAUUAGCUAGUUGGCGGGGUAAAGGCCCACCAAGGCGACGAUCCGUAGCUGGUCUGAGAGGAUGAUCAGCCACACUGGAACUGAGACACGGUCCAGACUCCUACGGGAGGCAGCAGUGGGGAAUAUUGGACAAUGGGCGCAAGCCUGAUCCAGCCAUACCGCGUGGGUGAAGAAGGCCUUCGGGUUGUAAAGCCCUUUUGUUGGGAAAGAAAUCCAGCUGGCUAAUACCCGGUUGGGAUGACGGUACCCAAAGAAUAAGCACCGGCUAACUUCGUGCCAGCCGCCGCAGUAA
rnacentral:rRNA from 1 species